AACAUGAUCCCACGUGGUUAGUAGAAAUACUUCCGCCGUAGAUAGGUGUUUCUGAAAACAACUCGCAGUGAGCAUGCUACCCAUCACCUCUGAUUUGUUAUCUAAAAAUACAUCGAAGAAUUGACGUUAAAAACUCUCAGGAGCUCUAGCAGUAUAAUCACAACAACAAUAAAAAAAACAACAGUUUUACAGUAAUUUUUACCAAAUCCGUUGGUAACAGAGCAGUCGUUGCUUCAGCUGUCAGACCGGUAACCGUCAGUUGGCUCAUACUAGCUUAGUGACGCCGUUAGCAAACCUGUCAGUUAACGUUACGUUAGCUUAAAGUGUGUGACAGCAGGCGUAGGAGAUUAACUAGUUUUCCACAAGCUCAAUGUCACUGUGCAAAAUGAACGCCAGAGUAAUUAUAAUAGAAUGCUUGCGGUUAGUAGUACUCUCAUUACAAAUUCUGGCUGCCCGGCUAAAGCUAGCUAACAAAUUAUCUAUGUAGCAUGCUAGCCGUGGAUAGUUUUAACAGUAGCUAGUAGUCACCAUUAGCCUCUUAGCAGUACGUCCUAAGUUAGCGGGGCUAUGCUAAAACCCACGCGGUACUUGGAGGCAAAGGUUCUUGGGGUGUUCCAUCGCCGUAAUUAAACUGGGGGGGACUAUAUCAGCCAUCGGCAACCAGGGUCCUAGUACGAAGUCAACCGGGCUACCCAGUACCGGAGGACCGGGUACACCACGCACCACUGACCUUGCUGUCUCCGUUGCACAGAGCCAUGGAGGACUGCCGUGUUGAGGAAUGAGCUCUCCCCUUCGCCUCGCUGUCCCAGGUCUCACAGAGAGAGGGCUACUGGUUAGCUCCUGGCUCAGCACGCCGACUACUGUUUCAAAAGCAGGAAGGUUUGUUGGUUUGAAGAUGGGCCGUCUGUCUCUCCUCCUCCGACUGGGGAACAACUUUCGCUGUGGAAACGGACUAAAUAAAUGUGACUGUUUUGAAUGGGAGGAGCGCAAAGUUAAAUCCGAAAAACGAGAGUGGAGGAAGAGCUGUGUUAACCCACCGGGGCAGGGCUGGGUUUACACGGUGAAGUAAAAUUUAACCGUGUGCUUAAUUAAAUUUAUAUAAAAUAUAUCAUAAGUUAAUAUAUGAAGGUAUGUCAGUGGUUUUCACAUGUCCAGAGAGACCCCCCCCCCCCCAUCUGUAGUAAUUAGGAGUGUCCA